rnacentral:rRNA from 1 species
GAUGAACGCUGGCGGCGUGCCUAAUACAUGCAAGUCGAGCGAACAGAUGAGGAGCUUGCUCCUCUGACGUUAGCGGCGGACGGGUGAGUAACAUGUGGAUAACCUACCUAUAAGACUGGGAUAACUUCGGGAAACCGGAGCUAAUACCGGAUAAUAUAUUGAACCGCAUGGUUCAAUAGUGAAAGACGGUUUUGCUGUCACUUAUAGAUGGAUCCGCGCCGCAUUAGCUAGUUGGUAAGGUAACGGCUUACCAAGGCAACGAUGCGUAGCCGACCUGAGAGGGUGAUCAGCCACACUGGAACUGAGACACGGUCCAGACUCCUACGGGAGGCAGCAGUAGGGAAUCUUCCGCAAUGGGCGAAAGCCUGACGGAGCAACGCCGCGUGAGUGAUGAAGGUCUUCGGAUCGUAAAACUCUGUUAUUAGGGAAGAACAAAUGUGUAAGUAACUAUGCACGUCUUGACGGUACCUAAUCAGAAAGCCACGGCUAACUACGUG